GGGGAAUAUUGGACAAUGGGCGAAAGCCUGAUCCAGCCAUGCCGCGUGUGUGAAGAAGGUCUUCGGAUUGUAAAGCACUUUAAGUUGGGAGGAAGGGCUGCAAGUUAAUACCUUGUAGUUUUGACGUUACCAACAGAAUAAGCACCGGCUAACUUCGUGCCAGCAGCCGCGGUAAUAACGAAGGGUGCAAGCGUUAAUCGGAAUUACUGGGCGUAAAGCGCGCGUAGGUGGGUUGGUAAGAUGGAUGUGAAAUCCCCGGGCUCAACCUGGGAACGGCACCCAAAAUUGCCGGAUUAAAGUACGGUAGAGGGUGGUGAAAUUUCUGGUGUAGGGGUGAAAGGGGUAGAAAUAGGAAGGAACACCAGUGGCGAAGGCGACCACCGGGACUGAUACUACCACUGAGGUGCAAAGGCGUGGGAGCAAACA
rnacentral:rRNA from 1 species